UACAGAGGUCUCAAGCGUUGUUCGGAUUCAUUGGGCGUAAAGGGUGCGUAGGCGGCGCGGUAAGUCGGGUGUGAAAUCUCGGAGCUUAACUCCGAAACUGCAUUCGAUACUGCCGUGCUUGAGGACUGGAGAGGAGACUGGAAUUUACGGUGUAGCAGUGAAAUGCGUAGAUAUCGUAAGGAAGACCAGUGGCGAAGGCGGGUCUCUGGACAGUUCCUGACACUGAGACACGAAGGCCAGGGGAGCAAACGGG
rnacentral:rRNA from 1 species